rnacentral:rRNA from 1 species
UGAGUAACGCGUAGGAAUCUACCCAGUAGUGGGGGACAACUUAGGGAAACUUAAGCUAAUACCGCAUACGCCCUGAGGGGGAAAGCGGGGGAUCUUCGGACCUCGCGCUAUUGGAAGAGCCUGCGUUAGAUUAGCUAGUUGGUGGGGUAAAGGCUCACCAAGGCGACGAUCUAUAGCUGGUCUGAGAGGAUGAUCAGCCACACUGGGACUGAGACACGGCCCAGACUCCUACGGGAGGCAGCAGUGGGGAAUAUUGCGCAAUGGGCGAAAGCCUGACGCAGCCAUGCCGCGUGUGUGAAGAAGGCCUUCGGGUUGUAAAGCACUUUCAAUUGGGAGGAAGGGUUUAACGUUAAUAGCGUUGAAUCUUGACGUUACCUUUAGAAGAAGCACCGGCUAACUCCGUGCCAGCAGCCGCGGUAAUACGGAGGGUGCGAGCGUUAAUCGGAAUUACUGGGCGUAAAGCGCGCGUAGGCGGUUUGUUAAGUCGGAUGUGAAAUCCCCGGGCUCAACCUGGGAACUGCACCCGAUACUGGCCGACUUGAGUGCGAGAGAGGGAGGUAGAAUUCCAUGUGUAGCGGUGAAAUGCGUAGAUAUAUGGAGGAAUACCGGUGGCGAAGGCGGCCUCCUGGCUCGACACUGACGCUGAGGUGCGAAAGCGUGGGUAGCAAACAGGAUUAGAUACCCUGGUAGUCCACGCCGUAAACGAUGUCUACUAGCCGUUGGGGAACUUGAUUCUUUAGUGG